CCUACGGGCGGCAGCAGUGGGGGAUAUUGCACAAUGGGGGGAACCCUGAUGCAGCGACGCCGCGUGGGUGAAGAAGCGCCUCGGCGCGUAAAGCCCUGUCAGCAGGGAAGAAAAUGACGGUACCUGAAGAAUAAGCCCCGGCCAACUACGGGCCAGAAGCCGCGGUAAUACGUAGGGGGCAAGCGUUCUCCGGAUUUACUGGGUGUAACGGGGGCGCAGUCGGCGAUGCAAGCCAGAAGUGAAAGCCCGGGGCCCAACCCCGGGAAUGCUCGUGAAACUGCGGGGCUUGAGUGCAGGAGGGGCAGGCGGAAUUCCUGGUGUAGCGGUGAAAUGCGUAGAUAUCAGGAGGAACACCGGUGGCGAAGGCGGCCUGCUGGACUGCAACUGACGUUGAGGCCCGAAAGCGUGGGGAGCAAACAGGAUUAGAUACCCCAGUAGUC
rnacentral:rRNA from 1 species